GUGGAUGAAGGUUUGGAGCAGAAGUGAUGGAGUUCAGAGCCAACCAAUGACCAUCAGAGAUAGAAACCUGAUCAUUAGUAACUUUACAGCCAGAGACACAGGAUCAUACAGAGUUCUGGACCCUUCAGGAGAAACCUUGAUCACAGUGACAGUCAGAGAAUCAGGUACAGAAUCAAAGGGAAAGUUGGACAAAACACAUUAUGACAAACCUAAAGCUCUUUGGAUUUGUCUUUUGGCUUUUGUACUGACUGUAUGUCUGUGUUUUUGGUUCUGGUGGUUCUGGAAGUGUUGUCAUUUCAAGUCAUCAAUAAAACAUCAACGUCCGCACAGAAAUGUGGAACAUGGAUCAAAAGGGUCACAAUUCAAAAAACUGUAAAAGUGUCCCAGAAUAUCAGCAUCACUGGUUACUUGAAAUUUGUUUUCAGAGUUGAAAGAUCUGCAGAGGAUUCUGGCAACAAUAUAUUUGCAAUAUAUAUUCAAUUUACAACACAUAUGAACAUAUGGGCUGCAUUCCUACAGCAGUGUUGUGUUUGUUGACUGUCUCUACAUUUAUUUAAAGUGAACUAUAGAUAAACUACAGAUCUGUGGCCAGAAAUGAUCUUAUCAAACAGAGAAUGAUUUUAUUGGAUCUUUUUCUGAGGCUAAAAAUACUUAUUGUGGUGUCCCACAAGGCAGUUGUCCACUUUUAUUUUCUGUUUUUAU